ensembl:ncRNA K06A1.9 ncRNA
AAAUCCGCUCUUGAAAAGAGUUGGUUACUUUGGCGGACGGAAAUUGCACAUCACCAGGAGCACACAAGGUGCUCUUCACAACGCUCAUCGUCACAUGAGAAGUGCAUCACUGACUUG